rnacentral:rRNA from 1 species
UUCGGAAACGGACGCUAAUACCGCAUACGUCCUACGGGAGAAAGCAGGGGACCUUCGGGCCUUGCGCUAUCAGAUGAGCCUAGGUCGGAUUAGCUAGUUGGUGAGGUAAUGGCUCACCAAGGCUACGAUCCGUAACUGGUCUGAGAGGAUGAUCAGUCACACUGGAACUGAGACACGGUCCAGACUCCUACGGGAGGCAGCAGUGGGGAAUAUUGGACAAUGGGCGAAAGCCUGAUCCAGCCAUGCCGCGUGUGUGAAGAAGGUCUUCGGAUUGUAAAGCACUUUAAGUUGGGAGGAAGGGCAUUAACCUAAUACGUUAGUGUUUUGACGUUACCGACAGAAUAAGCACCGGCUAACUCUGUGCCAGCAGCCGCGGUAAUACAGAGGGUGCAAGCGUUAAUCGGAAUUACUGGGCGUAAAGCGCGCGUAGGUGGUUUGUUAAGUUGAAUGUGAAAUCCC